ACUGCUCAGUAACACGUGGACAACCUGCCCUUAGGUUGGGUAUAAACCCGGGAAACUGGGUAUAAUACCCGAUAGGUCUCGAUUGCUGGAAUGCAUCGAGAUUUAAAGCUCCGGCGCCUAAGGAUGGGUCUGCGGCCUAUCAGGUAGUAGUGGGUGUAGCGUACCUACUAGCCUACGACGGGUACGGGUUGUGAGAGCAAGAGCCCGGAGAUGGAUUCUGAGACACGAAUCCAGGCCCUACGGGGUGCAGCAGGCGCGAAAACUUUACAAUGCUGGCAACAGCGAUAAGGGAACCUCGAGUGCCAGGUUACAAAUCUGGCUGUCGAGAUGCCUAAAAAGCAUUUCAUAGCAAGGGCCGGGCAAGACCGGUGCCAGCCGCCGCGGUAACACCGGCGGCUCGAGUGGUAACCGUUAUUAUUGGGUCUAAAGGGUCUGUAGCCGGCCGGAUAAGUCUCUUGAGAAAUCUGGCAGCUUAACUGUCAGGCUUUCAGGAGAUACUGUCUGGCUCGAGGCCGGGAGAGGUGAGAGGUACUUCAGGGGUAGGGGUGAAAUCUUGUAAUCCUUGAAGGACCACCAGUGGCGAAGGCGUCUCACCAGAACGGACCUGACGGCAAGGGACGAAAGCUAGGGGCACGAACCGAAUUAGAUACCCGGGUAGUCCUAGCCGUAAACGAUACUCGCUAGGUGUCGGCCACGGUGCGACCGUUGUCGGUGCCGUAGGGAAGCCGUGAAGCGAGCCACCUGGGAAGUACGGCCGCAAGGCUGAAACUUAAAGGAAUUGGCGGGGGAGCAC
rnacentral:rRNA from 1 species